AAAUAUUCUACGGAGCAUUCAUGGUUUGCAGAGUUAACUGUUCUGUAUUUGCUUAAGAGAAGUUUCAGUCCUAUACAUUGAAAACCAUUGUUGUCUUUUGAGCGAGAAUUGUUGAUGAUUCAUAAAGCGGGCGCAACACUUCUGGCACACUUCAUGGCUGGAGUUUUAAUGAGGCUGUCAACGGUUUCACUGAUGAGGGGUGCUCAAUGAUGGAAAAUGAUGGCAUCGAUGACAUUACUAUCCUCGUAAAUUCGUCUCCUGACAAGCUGAUGAGCCUCAACCUUCCCUUUGCAAAGGGUUUUCUUCUGUCAGCAAUAUGGUCCUAUGUGCAAAGGGCAUCAAUGCUCUUACAGAACAUACCACCCGCAAGUCGGACGUAUUUCAACACCGUAAACGAAAAUGGGGUCAGAAUAAACAUAUUGAAGUCGAAUUCAGAAGACAAUUUGACGUCGCCGAGAUCCUUUAUCACAGGGGGUUGAAGGUGAAUUAUGCAUCACUGCAUGGAAACGAACAUUUGCCAACAAUGAGAGUGGUCAGAUAUGAUCAUCUAUUCUCUUUGAGAUAACUGUUGAAGCAUUAGAA